rnacentral:rRNA from 1 species
AGAGUUUGAUCMUGGCUCAGGACGAACGCUGGCGGCGUGCCUAACACAUGCAAGUCGAACGAUUCGAUUUCGAACUUCGAUCUUCGAAUUUCGAAUAUCGAAUAGUGGCGGACGGGUGAGUAACGCGUGGGUAACCUACCCAUAAAGCCGGGACAACCCUUGGAAACGAGGGCUAAUACCGGAUAAUCUUUKAGMWUGGCAUCAMKUYUUAAGAAAAGGUGGCCUCUGARKAUGCURCCGAUUAUGGAUGGACCCGCGUCUGAUUAGCURGUUGGUGGGGUAAAGGCCUACCAAGGCGACGAUCAGUAGCCGGCCUGAGAGGGUGAACGGCCACACUGGGACUGAGACACGGCCCAGACUCCUACGGGAGGCAGCAGUGGGGAAUCUUCCGCAAUGGACGAAAGUCUGACGGAGCAACGCCGCGUGUAUGAUGAAGGUCUUCGGAUUGUAAAGUACUGUCUUUGGGGAAGAAUGGUGCAUUUGAAAAGAUUGAGUGCAUAUGACGGUACCCAAGGAGGAAGCCCCGGCUAACUACGUGCCAGCAGCCGCGGUAA